GCGGCACGCCUAAACAUGCAAGUCGAACGAAGUAGCAAUACUUAGUGGCAGACGGGUGAGUAACAUGUAGGUAUCUGCCCUUUGGCCUGGAAUAACACGAGGAAACUUGUGCUAAUACCGGAUAAGUCUUUACGGAGAAAGCUUUAUGCACCAUUGGAUGAGCCUGCACUUGAUUAGUUUGUUGGUGGGGUAAUGGCCUACCAAGACUGUGAUCAAUAGCUGAUUUGAGAGGAUGAUCAGCCACAUUGGGACUGAGACACGGCCCAAACUCCUACGGGAGGCAGCAGUGGGGAAUCUUGCACAAUGGAGGAAACUCUGAUGCAGCGAUGCCGCGUGAGUGAAGAAGGCCCUUGGGUUGUAAAGCUCUUUCGUCGGGGAAGAAAAUGACUGUACCCGAAUAAGAAGGUCCGGCUAACUUCGU
rnacentral:rRNA from 1 species